GUGCUCACUUAGGCAGCACAUAUACUAAAAUUGGAAUGAUAUGGAGGUUAGCAUGGACCUCUGCACAAGGAUGACAUGCAAAUCUGUGACGUGUUCCUUAUUUUU